AAGUCCAAUAAUUUAUAUAUUUGUUACAUGCUGAAAUGGUAAUAUUUGGGGCAUAUUGAGUUAAAUAAAAAAUAUGCUAAAAAUUAAUUAACCUCCUUCCUUUAUUUUUUUUUUGAUGUGGCUACUAGAAAGUUUUAAAUUAUAUAUUUGGAUUGUGUUAUGUUUUGUUGGACAGGAAUGACCCAGAAAUUUAUCUGGGAAAUUUUAUAGUAUAUCUUUUAAGAUAUGUAGUGUACUUGUGUUUUGACUAGAUAAUUUUAUCCCAUAGAAAACUUAUGUACUUUUACAAAUAUAACAUACUGGGUGUUCAUUUUACUGGUUAUAGAAGAUGAUAGAAAAUAAUCCCAGUGGUCUUUCAGUAGGGUUAAGAAAUGUUUCAAACACAUAUGGAAUGCUAAUCAUCAAUUAAAUAAAAUAAAAUACAUCUAUACACAGAGAGAUGGAAAGAUGGCCAUAAAGCCUUAAGAAAAAAGUCAUAGAACAAAACAUAUAAUGAAAUCCCAUUUCUAGUAAAUAAUUAAAUCUCUAUAAAAAGAGUAUGCACAUUUUCACUAUUUUCUGUAGACUUUUAUAUUCAUUCCAUUUUUCAAAAAUCAUGUAUUAUAAAAAAUAAUUGUCAUGAUUACUGCAAAUGAUAUGAUACUAUAACAGAGAAAAUCCUAAAGAUGCUACCAGAAAACUACUAGAGCUCAUCAAUGAAUUCAAUAAAGUUGCAGGAUACAAAAUUCAUAUUCAGAAAUUUCUCACUUUCCUAUACACUAACAAUGAAAGGUCAGAAAGAGAAGUCAAGGAAACAGUCCCAUUUACCAUCAUAUCAAAAAAAGUAAAAUACCUAGGAAUAAAUCUACACAGGGACACAAAAGGCCUAUACUUUGAAAACUAUAAGAUGUUGACCAACAAGGGGGGAUCAGCUUGCUGUAUAGCACAGGGAAUUCUACCCAAUAUUCUGUGAUAAUCUAUAUGGGAAAAGAAUCUGAAAAAGAGUGGUUCUGUGUGUAUGAACAAAUGGAAAGAUACACCAUGUUCUUGUAUUGGAAAAAACCAAUAUUCUCAAAAUGGCUAUACUACUCAAAGCAAUCAACAGAUUCAGUGGAAUCCUUAUCAAAUGGUAAUGGUAUUUUUCACAGAACUAGAAAAAAUAAUUCUAACAUUUUUAUGGAAAUGCAAAAAAUCCUGAAUAGCCAAAGCAAACCUGAGAAAGAAAAAUGGAGCUGGAGGACUCAUUCUCCCUGACUUCAGACUAUACUGUAAAGCUACAAUCAUCAAAACAGUACGGUACUGGCACAAAAAGAAAUAUUGAUCAAUGGAACAGGAUGGAAAGCCCAGAAAUAAAUUCAUGCACCUGUGGUCAAUUAAUAUAUGACAAAGGAGAUAAGAAUAUACAAACAGAGAAAAGAUAGUCUCUUCAUUAAGUGGUGCUGGGAAAACUGGGCAGCUAUAUGUAAAAGAAUGAAAUUAGAAAAUUCUCUAAUGCCAUACACAAAAAUAAACUCCAAAUGGAUUAAAGACUUAAAUGUAAGAGGAAAUCUCUUAGAGGAAAUAUAGGCAGAACACUCCAACAUAAAUUGCAGCAAUAUCUUUUUAGGUCCACCUCAGAUUAAUGGAAAUAAAAAUGAAAAUAAACAAAUGGGACUCAAUUAAACUUAAAACCUUUUGAACAAUAAAGGAAACCAUUAAAAAAUGAAAAAAACAACAAACCACGGAAUGGGAGAAAAGCUUUGCAAACAAAGCAACCAAGGGAUUAAGCUCCAAAAUACACAGACAACUCAUGAAGCUCAAUAUCAAAAAAAUCCAAACAACUCAACUUAAAAAAUGGGCAUAAGAUCUAAAUAGUCUUCUCCAAAGAAGAUCUAGAGAUUGCCAAAAAGCACAUGAAAAGACACUCAACUUCACUAAGUAUUAGGGAAAUGUAAGUCAAAACUAUGAUGAGGUAUCACCUCACACACCAGUCAGAAUGCCCAUCAUCAAAACACCAACAAACAAUAAAUGAUGGAGAAGGUGCAGAGAAAAGGAAACCCUCCUAUACUAUUAGUGGGAAUGUAAACUUGUCCAACCAUCCUGGAGAAAAUUAUGGAGAUUCCUCAAAAAAAACCACAAACAAAUAUAGAAUUACCAUAUGAUUCAGCCAUCCUACUCCUGGAAAGAUAUCUGUUAAAAACCAUAAUUCAAAAAUAUACAUGCACCGCAGUGUUCACUGAAGCACUAUUUAUGACAGCCAGGACAUGGAAGCAACCUAAAUGUCCACUGAUAGAGGAAUGGGUAAAGAAGAUGUGACACAUAUAUGCAAUGAAAUAUUAGCCAUAAAAAAGAACAAAAUAAUGCCAUUUGCAGCAACAUGGAUGCAACCAGAGAUUCUCAUACUAAGUGAAAUAAAUCAGACAGAGAAAGACAAAUGUCACUUAUAUGUGGAAUCUAAAAAAGUGAUGCAAAGGAACUUAUUUACAAAACAGAAACAGACACACAGAUUUAAAAAACAAACCUAUGCUUACCAAAGUGGAAGUGUGGGGUAGAGGGAAAGACUGAAAGCUUGGGACAUCUUAUGCAUACUAUGGUAUAUGGAAUGGAUGGUCAACAAGUACCUGCUGUAUAGCACAGGGAACUCUAAUCAAUAUUCUGUGAUAACAUAUAUGGGAAUGGAUAUGUGUAUAUGUAUAACCGGGUCACUUUUGUGUAUAUCAGAAAUGAAAAUAACAUAAAUCAGCUAUACUUCAAUAAAAUUGAAAAUAAAUAAAUAUGCAUAAUUAAAAAGAAAUCAAGUGCUAUCAAUAGUGAUGCAAGACAAAAUUUUUUUACUACGUGUUGAUUUAUGCAGUUCUGCUCUAGCAAUAGCUAUAAAAUCAUAAUUUUUAAAAUGAUUGCCAAGUUUUAGAAUCAACCUCUAGGAAAAUAUGAAAAACUUAAUUUUAGGUAUAGAAAAGAUUAUAGAUAUUAUAAAUCCUGCCAAUGUAAAAGUAAUGGAAUUUGGAGAUAAGUGGGAGAAUGUAGAAUUGUUGAUUUCCUAAUCUGAGAUAAUGGAGAGUCAACAGAUAGUGUCUAAAAAAUUACCAUUUAAAUAUUAUUUAAGUUAAAAAGUUUGCCACAAGGAACUGAAUGUAAUAUAACAACAAGAUUAUUUGGGGGGUUAUUAAGCCACAUUUUCAUCCUUUUUAGCAGGGAGUAAAAGGAAAUUAUAUUAAUCAAGUAACAAUUGAGAUUCUUUUAUUUAACAUUUAUUCUGAAGUUAUUUGGUAACUGAAAUAAACAUAAAAUAAGCUAGUAAAAUAAGCAAACAAAAAUUCUGAUCCAGACAAAUGUUAUAAAGUUAUUUUAAGAGGGUGACAUGAUAGAAAGAAACCAGUAUGGAUGUUGAAUAAUUUGAAAUUAUGUUUGUGAUUACCAGAAAACUUCAUAAAUAUUGGCUUUAACAAGUUAUUUUUUUCAUGAAACUGGAAGUCUGGGUUUUCAGCUCACACCUGAUAUGGUAUAUUAACAAUACUAUCAAGGAACAAGGCCACUCCUUUCUCUCUUUUCUGCCAUACUUAGGGAUUGCUGCACAACUAGCUUUCUGUCUGCCUUCCAGAAAGGAAGAAUGAAAUAGAUGAACUGGUUUAAGUUAGGUCUCAUUGGCAUGACUGAGUAGCAUGGCCUCUCCUAGCUGCAAGGAGGCAAGAAAUGAAGUCUUUGUCUUUUCAACACUUACAUGAGAAAGCAUGGGAAAGGAAGUUUGAAAGGGUCAGCUCAGGAUUGUUUUGGAAGUGACAUUUAAACUAGGACCUCAAGGAUGAGAAGAAGGAAGACAGGUAUAUCUCUUUUGGUAUGCUCAAAGACAAGAACAGAGGCCAGGGCAACUGAAAUAUGGGAUGCAAAAAGGAGUGUGGUAAGAGGUGAGGUUAGAAGGGCAGACAAGAAUCAGAUCACAAUGGGGCUUCUAGGUCACAAUUAGGCAUUUUGAUUUUUUCUUAAAUGUCGUGGAAGGGUUUUAAACAGAAGAGUAAUGGGAUCUGACUUAAUAUUUUAAAGACUUAUCUGGCUGCUCUCCAGAAAUUAGAUUGAAAUGGGGCACAGGUUGAAGCAAGGAUAUCAAUAAAUACCUGUUCUAGUGAUUCAGU
rnacentral:lncRNA from 1 species